CGACUCUGGAGAGCGGUCCGGACUGCACCGACAGUCGGGACCCACCGAAGGGGCAGCAGCGACCGACGCGUUCGGUCGCCUGCAAACUCUCAGGUCUGGGACAGAGGGGCGGUG
rnacentral:ncRNA from 1 species